CCUACGGGAGGCUGCAGUGAGGAAUAUUGGUCAAUGGGCGCGAGCCUGAACCAGCCAAGUAGCGUGAAGGAUGACUGCCCUACGGGUUGUAAACUUCUUUUAUAAGGGAAUAAAGUGCGGCACGUGUGCCUUUUUGUAUGUACUUCAUGAAUACGGAUCGGCUAACGCCGUGCCAGCAGCCGCGGUAAUACGGAGGAUCCGAGCGUUAUCCGGAUUUAGUGGGUUUAAAGGGAGCGUAGAUGGGUUGUUAAGUCAGUUGUGAAAGGUUGCGGCUCAACCGUAAGAUUGCAAUGGAUACUGGCAGCCUUGAGUGCAGUUGAGGUAGGCGGAAUUCGUGGUGUAGCGGUGAAAUGCUUAGAUAUCACGAAGAACUCCGAUUGCGAAGGCAGCUUACUAAACUGCCACUGACAUUGAUGCUCGAAAGUGUGGGUAUCAAACAGGAUUAGAUACCCGAGUAGUC
rnacentral:rRNA from 1 species